UACGUAGGGGGCGAGCGUUGUCCGAAGUUACUGGGCGUAAAGAGCGCGUAGGCGGACCCUUAAGUGAGGGGUGAAAGGUUCGGGCUCAACCCGGAGAGUGCCUUUCAUACUGGGGGUCUUGAGUGCGGGAGAGGCAAGUGGAAUGGUCGGUGUAGCGGUGAAAUGCGUAGAUAUCAGGAGGAACACCGGUGGCGAAGGCGGUUCUCUGGGCCUGUACUGACGCUGAGGAACGAAAGCGUGGGGAGCGAACAGG
rnacentral:rRNA from 1 species